rnacentral:rRNA from 1 species
AGUGCAGGCGGCUACGUCAGUCGGAUGUGAAAGCCCCGGGCUUAACCUGGGAAUUGCAUUCGAUACUGCGUGGCUAGAGUCUGAUAGAGGGAAGUGGAAUUCCAGGUGUAGCGGUGAAAUGCGUAGAUAUCUGGAGGAACAUCAGUGGCGAAGGCGGCUUCCUGGAUCAAGACUGACGCUCAGGCUCGAAAGCGUGGGUAGCAAACAGGAUUAGAUACCCUGGUAGUCC